rnacentral:rRNA from 1 species
ACGUAAUAGAUACCCUGGUAGUCCACGCCCUAAACGAUGUCUACUAGUUGUUGGUGGAGUAAAAUCCAUGAGUAAACGCAGCUAAACGCGUGAAGUAGACCGCCUGGGGAGUACGGUCGCAAGAUUAAAACUCAAAGGAAUUGACGGGGGCCCGGCACAAGCGGUGGAUUAUGUGGAUUAAAUUCGAUGCAACGCGAAAAACCUUAACCUGGCCUUGACAUGCCACUAACGAAGCAGAGAUGCAUUAGGUGCCCGUAACGGGAAAGUGGACGCAGGUGCUGCAUGGCUGUCGUCAGCUCGUGUCGUGAGAUGUUGGGUUAAGUCCCGCAACGAGCGCAACCCUUGCCAUU